rnacentral:rRNA from 1 species
GCAAGCUUGAGUCUCGUAGAGGGGGGUAGAAUUCCAGGUGUAGCGGUGAAAUGCGUAGAGAUCUGGAGGAAUACCGGUGGCGAAGGCGGCCCCCUGGACGAAGACUGACGCUCAGGUGCGAAAGCGUGGGGAGCAAACAGGAUUAGAUACCCUGGUAGUCCACGCCGUAAACGAUGUCGACUUGGAGGUUGUGCCCUUGAGGCGUGGCUUCCGGAGCUAACGCGUUAAGUCGACCGCCUGGGGAGUACGGCCGCAAGGUUAAAACUCAAAUGAAUUGACGGGGGCCCGCACAAGCGGUGGAGCAUGUGGUUUAAUUCGAUGCAACGCGAAGAACCUUACCUGGUCUUGACAUCCACGGAAGUUUUCAGAGAUGAGAAUGUGCCUUCGGGAACCGUGAGACAGGUGCUGCAUGGCUGUCGUCAGCUCGUGUUGUGAAAUGUUG